AUUGAACGCUGGCGGCAGGCUUAACACAUGCAAGUCGAGCGGGGUGAUGGUGCUUGCACUAUCACUUAGCGGCGGACGGGUGAGUAAUGCUUAGGAAUCUGCCUAUUAGUGGGGGACAACAUCUCGAAAGGGAUGCUAAUACCGCAUACGUCCUACGGGAGAAAGCAGGGGAUCACUUGUGACCUUGUGCUAAUAGAUGAGCCUAAGUCGGAUUAGCUAGUUGGUGGGGUAAAGGCCUGCCAAGGCGACGAUCUGUAGCGGGUCUGAGAGGAUGAUCCGCCACACUGGGACUGAGACACGGCCCAGACUCCUACGGGAGGCAGCAGUGGGGGAUAUUGGACAAUGGGGGGAACCCUGAUCCAGCCAUGCCGCGUGUGUGAAGAAGGCCUUAUGGUUGUAAAGCACUUUAAGCGAGGAGGAGGCUUACCUAGUUAAUACCUGGGAUAAGUGGACGUUACUCGCAGAAUAAGCACCGGCUAACUCUGUGCCAGCCGCCGCAGUAA
rnacentral:rRNA from 1 species